rnacentral:rRNA from 1 species
GAUGAACGCUGGCGGCGUGCCUAAUACAUGCAAGUCGAGCGAACAGAUAAGGAGCUUGCUCCUUUGACGUUAGCGGCGGACGGGUGAGUAACACGUGGAUAACCUACCUAUAAGACCGGGAUAACUUCGGGAAACCGGAGCUAAUACCGGAUAACAUAUUGAACCGCAUGGUUCAAUAGUGAAAGGCGGCUUUGCUGUCACUUAUAGAUGGAUCCGCGCCGUAUUAGCUAGUUGGUAAGGUAACGGCUUACCAAGGCAACGAUACGUAGCCGACCUGAGAGGGUGAUCGGCCACACUGGAACUGAGACACGGUCCAGACUCCUACGGGAGGCAGCAGUAGGGAAUCUUCCGCAAUGGGCGAAAGCCUGACGGAGCAACGCCGCGUGAGUGAUGAAGGUCUUCGGAUCGUAAAACUCUGUUAUCAGGGAAGAACAAAUGUGUAAGUAACUGUGCACAUCUUGACGGUACCUGAUCAGAAAGCCACGGCUAACUACGUG